rnacentral:lncRNA from 1 species
GAGGACCCCAACUUGAGUGAUUGAGCGUAAGAGAAUCUAAGUCUCUUACGACCCAAAACACGAAGUGUUAGAGCAACAACUCAAGAGUUCGAACACUAAAAGCUAUCUCAGGAGGACCCUAGCUAUUGAGUGACCGAGUGUAAGAGAAGAGACGAGUGGAAAGAGAUAAUGGAUGAAUGAGAGGUGGGAGAAUGAAAGUGAAGGAGAGAGGAGAAUGGGUAACUGAGGGGUAUGAGUUAGAGAGAGUAGGUGAGAGAGUGAGAGGUGAGAAUUAGAGAGAGGGAGAGAGAGAAGGCGAACUUGCCUAUGGCAUGGGUCCGUGCCUACAGGGUACGUAGAGGAUGAGAGAGGAUGAGAAAGAGAGAAGGAUAGAGAGAGUGAGAGAGCGAUGGGCCCGCCGCUAGUGCGGGUCCGUCAUUAGGAGGUUGAGAGAGAUAAUUAGGAGGUUGAGAGAGAUAGAGAUAGAGAGAUGCUGGAUCCACUUAUAGCAUGGAUCCGUAACUUAGGCGAGAGAGAAAGAGAGAGAGUAAGUGAAAGAGAGGGAGCGGGAGACGAGCUGGCCUCUAUUGUGGGUCUAUCACUAGAAGGGAGAGGGAGAUAAGGUGUGAGAAAAGAGAGAGAAAGGGGGAAAGCUCAGACUCGCCCUAGGUUCAAGUGGAAGAGAGAGAAAGAGAGCAAAGAGAGAGAGUGAGAGUAAAGAGAGAGAGCACAAAGAGAGAGUGAGAGCAAAGAGAGAGAGAGAGCAAAGAGAGAAAGAGAGCAUAGAGAGAGAAAGAGAGUGAGAGCUCGGACCCACCCUGGGUCUGAGUUAAGAGAGAGUGUGUAAAGAGAGAGAGUGAGAGUAAAGAGAGAAUGAGAGUAAAGAGAGUGAGAGCUUGGACCCACCUUGGGUCUGAGUGGGGAGAGAAAGAGAGGAAGAAAAAGAAAGAAAUAAAGAGAGAGAGUGAGGAGGAGAGAGAUUGGACCUAAAUGGCUCGGGCCUAGGUGAGCCUUCGAGGGUCCCUUUGAAUGCACCUUAGAGAGGGGUCUUGGUUCUUGGAGAGGCUAAGGUUAGGAUCUACGGUCUAGGAGAAUGGACCUAAUUGGGUUAGCAUAGUGGAAGGUGUGGGGGUGUAUGGAAUAGGAUAGGGUGUAUGGAAUGGACUAGGGUAUAUGGAUGCUAUGUUGUAUGGGGUAGGAUAAGAUGUAUGGAUGCUAGGGUGUAUAGAAGCUAAGAUGUAUGGUGUAGGAUUGGGAGUUGGGAAUCCCAGGGUAUAUGGAAGCUAGGGUGUAUGGGAUAAGAUUGAGAGUUGGGAAUCCUAAGAAAUGGGAAGUUUCGAAUUCUAGGAGAGUCAAGG